rnacentral:lncRNA from 1 species
CUAUAAUGAACUGCGACACCCGGAUGUCGACGCAGCGUAGAGAAAGAUCACCUGUUCACAAGUUUAGCUGCCUCGGAUACAAUGACAGCAGAAAAAACUCGGCAACACUCGUGUUUCUUCUGCUUGCUAAAUUUGCUCUGUUCCCCUGACAGGGCAGGGGUAACCCCUGUCAAUUUUUGAUCUCCAAUGGCUGGACAAUUUUGUAGUGAUACUCGUCAUAGUACUCGCUGUAGUGCCGCCCUUCUGACAUUCAUCAGUGUCAUGCGAUUGCCACUGCGACAAAGCAUUUCACUGUAGGGAUUCCUGCAAUGAGUUGAUGAUCCUGCAAUUUUUUUCAGAUCAUGCAUUUUAUCAUAACUGGAAAAUGUAGUGUUUUCAGUUAUGCUGUUUUGUGUGUCGGCCAAGGGAGCAGGAAAGGGAUUUCUAAUGUGUGAACAAGAUUCAGAUUUUAUCCAGGAGCUGUACAUGAAAGCUACGUAGUUUGUAAACAUUACACCUGUUUACACGGAAUUUUUGUUUGGUUAGGCUUUUCCUUGGCUUUUGCACUUUGGCUUAUAACCAAAAAAAGCUCCUAUUUAG